rnacentral:rRNA from 1 species
AACGAACGCUGGCGCAUGCCUAACACCUGCAAGUCGCACGAGACCUUCGGGUCUAGUGGCGCACGGGUGCGUAACGCGUGGGAACCUGCCCUUAGGUUCGGAAUAACUCCCCGAAAGGGGUGCUAAUACCGGAUAAUGUCUUCGGACCAAAGAUUUAUCGCCUUUGGAUGGGCCCGCGUUGGAUUAGCUAGUUGGUAGGGUAAAAGCCUACCAAGGCGACGAUCCAUAGCUGGUCUGAGAGGAUGAUCAGCCACACUGGGACUGAGACACGGCCCAGACUCCUACGGGAGGCAGCAGUGGGGAAUAUUGGACAAUGGGCGAAAGCCUGAUCCAGCAAUGCCGCGUGAGUGAUGAAGGCCUUAGGGUUGUAAAGCUCUUUUACCCGGGAUGAUAAUGACAGUACCGGGAGAAUAAGCUCCGGCUAACUCCGUG